CCUGGCUCAGGAUGAACGCUAGCUACAGGCUUAACACAUGCAAGUCGAGGGGCAGCAUUGGAGUAGCAAUACUCAGAUGGCGACCGGCGCACGGGUGAGUAACACGUAUCCAACCUGCCGCUUACUCGGGGAUAGCCUUUCGAAAGAAAGAUUAAUACCCGAUGGUAUAAAGAGUUCGCAUGUUCUCUUUAUUAAAGAAUUUCGGUAAGCGAUGGGGAUGCGUUCCAUUAGAUAGUUGGCGGGGUAACGGCCCACCAAGUCUACGAUGGAUAGGGGUUCUGAGAGGAAGGUCCCCCACAUUGGAACUGAGACACGGUCCAAACUCCUACGGGAGGCAGCAGUGAGGAAUAUUGGUCAAUGGACGAGAGUCUGAACCAGCCAAAAGUAGCGUGAAGGAUGACUGCCCUAUGGGUUGUAAACUUCUUUUAUAAGGGAAUAAAGUGAGGGACGUGUCCCUUUUUGUAUGUACCUUAUGAAUAAGGAUCGGCUAACUCCGUGCCAGCCGCCGC
rnacentral:rRNA from 1 species